AGUUAACUUGUUUAUAUGUAUUUUAUGCUUUUAUAAGGUUUAUAACAUGAUUAUUGCUGACUGAAGGGAUAUUGAAUACUUACAUAAUAUGCUGACUGUGACAGACUAAGGUAUUUCUUCUAUAGGAUGUAAGACAAUGCUAAAUUUCAGGAUGUCUUGCCCAUUCCGAUUUCAGGAUAUUCUUUUCCAGACGUAUGCAAAAGCUUAUCUUUCCAUUGUCAGAAUAACGUAAUAUAAGGAAGUAAUAAAUCUUAUAGUCUGUACUGUAUUUGCAUAUACCAUGGCUAAUGUAAGCAAACUAUGUAUAAAAGCCAGCUCUGGAAUACACUCAUUUGAGAGUCUUGUAAAGCUGUUGUCCGUGUGUUAUUGCUUACAAAUGAUCCUCCAUCAACGUUGAUUAUGGUGACCGAGGGAUCGAGAACCGAGGGGAUUAGAGUCCAUUACAACAUUAACCCUUUCACACACUCUG